ACUCAAUAGAUACCCGGGUAGUCCACGCCGUAAACGAUGAGUGCUAAGUGUUAGAGGGUUUCCGCCCUUUAGUGCUGCAGCUAAACGCAUUAAGCACUCCGCCUGGGGAGUACGGUCGCAAGACUGAAACUCAAAGGAAUUGACGGGGGCCGCACAAGCGGUGGAGCAUGUGGUUUAAUUCGAAGCAACGCGAAGAACCUUACCAGGUCUUGACAUCCUCUGACAACUCUAGAGAUAGAGCGUUCCCCUUCGGGGGACAGAGUGACAGGUGGUGCAUGGUUGUCGUCAGCUCGUGUCGUGAGAUGUUGGGUUAAGUCCCGCAACGAGCGCAACCCUUGAUCUUAGUUGCCAGCAUUUAGUUGGGCACUCUAAGGUGACUGCCGGUGACAAACCGGAGGAAGGUGGGGAUGACGUCAAAUCAUCAUGCCCCUUAUGACCUGGGCUACACACGUGCUACAAUGGAUGGUACAAAGGGCUGCAAGACCGCGAGGUCAAGCCAAUCCCAUAAAA
rnacentral:rRNA from 1 species